UUGAUUAACACUGAAAGUAAUUCAUACUGCAUCAUAUUUGCUAUGUUCUGCAUUGCAUUUAUCACCAUUAUUGUAUAAUACUACAGUUCACCUAUCCUCAACAGCCUGUUCCAGUACUAUUGCUACUCCAGUGGGGGAAUGCGUCAAACCUCCUACACCUGUAUCUGUGGAACGAAACAUGAUGGAUGCAGUGCUGUCCCUGAUGUGAUCUGACCAUGGAUUCAGUCAUCAUAUAGCCUAGCCC